UAGGACUGUAAACAGUUCAGCACUUUCCUGUGCCAACUGGCAUCUCCAAAGAGGGCUCUGGAGAUUGGUAAAAACCAAACUGGAACGGAUUCUUCUAGAACCUGGAGCUUAAAAAAUAAAAGGCGGCAGAGGCUUGAGGUGCUUUGCUCCUACUCGGUCCUAAGUGAGGCCACCUGGUGGACAGAGGCGGCAUUGCAGCCAGAGGGAGCGGCGCAGCCUGAAGAAGGGACAGUGUGGAAGACCAGAGACAGGAAGGCCACUGCCACUUACAUCGUUACUCUGGCUUCAUGGAAAAUCCCCAAAGUCCAGAAGGAGGGAAGCAAGAAGGAAAGACGGUGACAGAGAAAGUGCCUUGUCCUCUGUGGGUCAUGUGAACUGCCCCGCAUGGCCAAGGCCCAGAACCCCCAACUCUGGGGGGCAGGAAAAUGGGGAGGAGGAUGUGGACACAGAUGCGGAAGGCGAUGGUGGGAGGGACCCCGAGGAGAACCCCCAUGGAGACGGCCGCUGUCUUGGAGAAGCAGCUCCAACAACCAAUUUGGGCCAAACCCUCACACCAAAUGAUGACAGGAGCAAUGAAUCGUGCCUUUCAGCUCUCUCGCCGACAGGGUCCCAUGUGAGCCUUCACAAACAAUCUCCGAGUGAUGCAAGGGAUGACAGGCAGAACCAAACCCCAUUCUGACAGGGCAGUCCGUCCCCUCCCCCUCAUUCAGAGAGGUUCAAAAGUGCUCUUGUCCCAACCAUCUUUGUCACCCCAGCUUUGGUGGCGAACCGUGAAGGGGAGGCCGUUUGUCCUGGUGUCUCAGCGAGAACUGGAAGUCUUGGCAACAUGACCCAUGAAUGCUGUUUAGUUCAGUGGCUCUUAAAUCUCAUGAACCUUGUGUCAGUAUUUAUGCCUGUCUCCCUUCGCCUUAUGCCUUGCAACUGGGAAAGUUCACCUCCAGACUUUUUCCCAGCUCACUUCUCAUUUUCCAUCCUCCCCACUACCCAACUUCUGGCCAGAAACAGAUAUAUCUGAAGAAGAGACUGCAAAAUUCACCUCGGUGAAUGGGAUCACCUCCUCCUCCUCCUGCCUCUCUACAUCGCCCUGAUCAUUCACAUUGGUUCAACUCGAUUCAGUUCAAGAUUGACUGAAUGCCUAUUCAAAGUGCAAGGCCCGUUUCGGGGAAAUUGAACCAAGCAAACAAACCAACUGGUAGUACAAGUAAAAAAUUGUGCUUCCUUCCAGAAUAUUCAGGGUUUGACCUCAGUGAAAUAUUUGCUUCGGGGGGAAAAAGCCCAGGGCUCGGGGAGGGGGGAGGGGAA